UACGAAGGGGGCUAGCGUUGCUCGGAAUCACUGGGCGUAAAGCGCACGUAGGCGGAUUGUUAAGUCAGGGGUGAAAUCCUGGAGCUCAACUCCAGAACUGCCUUUGAUACUGGCGAUCUCGAGUCCGGGAGAGGUGAGUGGAACUGCGAGUGUAGAGGUGAAAUUCGUAGAUAUUCGCAAGAACACCAGUGGCGAAGGCGGCUCACUGGCCCGGUACUGACGCUGAGGCACGAAAGCGUGGGGAUCAAACAGG
rnacentral:rRNA from 1 species